AACCGUUUCCACUCUCCCCCUUCCAGAAUUCUCCACCAUCUUUCUCUUCAACUUUGGACGUUGUUGAGAAAUUCGCAACUCCAAAGAAUUGCAAGAAUCAAGUUUAAUCACCUUUUGAAAACACCAUCCGACAGUUUUAAUCAUGUCUUACGGUAAACAAAAUGGCGGAUCGUAUCGAGGCCGUGGCUCCGAGAACGGUUUCGGAGGCGGCGCAAGUCGCAACGGGUUCGGGGGCGGCAGCCGCUUCAAGAACGGUGGGGGCGGGGGCGGUGGAAGCCGAUUCGGCGGCCGCAGCGGCGGCGGCGGAUCCCCGGGCAACCGCCUCCGAAAACCCAAUUGGGACAUGAAGAACUUGCGCCCUUUCAAAAAAGAUUUCUACGUCCCUCACCCCGCUGUUGCCAACCGGUCAAAGUACGAGGUCGAACAGUACAGAAGGUCCAAGGAAAUCACGAUAGAUGGCGAUGCGCCCAACCCUAUCCAGAACUUCGAAGAGGCGUGUUUCCCCGAUUAUGUGCAACACGAGAUCCAGAAACAGGGAUACGACACUCCAACGGCCAUCCAGGCGCAAGGGUGGCCCAUUGCCAUGAGCGGGAAGGAUUUGGUGGGCAUUGCCCAGACGGGGUCAGGGAAAACCCUGGCUUACAUCCUACCAGCGAUCGUCCAUAUCAAUAACCAGCCAUCUAUCGCACGUGGCGAUGGACCCAUAGCUCUAGUUUUGGCCCCCACGCGAGAACUCGCCCAACAAAUCCAGCAAGUGGCCCAUGAUUUCGGAAGUUCGUCCUAUGUUCGCAAUACCUGUAUUUUUGGUGGCGCCCCCAAGGGGCCCCAAGCCAGGGAUUUGGAACGUGGGGUUGAAAUUUGUAUUGCGACUCCCGGCCGUUUGAUUGAUUUCCUGGAGAAGGGAACAACGAAUUUACAAAGAUGUACCUAUUUGGUCCUGGAUGAAGCUGAUAGGAUGCUGGAUAUGGGUUUUGAGCCCCAAAUACGCAAAAUUAUUGAACAGAUCAGACCCGACAGACAGACCUUGAUGUGGUCAGCCACUUGGCCCAAAGAAGUCCGAAAAUUGGCACAAGAUUUCCUGAGAAACUACGUACAAAUCAAUAUUGGGUCGUUGCAAUUGUCGGCCAACCACAACAUUCUUCAAAUCGUUGAUGUUUGCCAGGAACACGAAAAGGAAACAAAAUUGAAUAACUUGUUGCAAGAAAUCGGCAAUAACGGCGAGCCUGGAGCAAAAAUCAUUAUAUUCGUAGAAACCAAAAAGAAGGUAGAGAGCAUAACCCGCACAAUUAGACGUUACGGAUGGCCUGCCGUUUGCAUGCAUGGUGACAAGAGCCAACAGGAGCGCGAUUUCGUCUUGAGAGAGUUCCGAAAUGGCAAAUCGAGCAUUUUAAUUGCUACAGACGUAGCUGCUCGUGGCUUGGAGGCACAUGCAGGAUGAGCGUAUUUAGCAAGUGCUAAUAAUUACGCCUUUGUUGCGUUCUUGUAAAGGAUGCAAUUCUGUGUCUUGCGGUGCCUCUGGCUGGCUACCCCGCUCUGAGGUAGAUCAUUUGAGGAGGUAGAAGACCGAUGGAAGAUUUGAUGUGCUCUUUCGCAUCAAAUAUGGCACAUGUUUGGUAUACACAAUCCCAUUCCAUGUAUCCCUUAUAAUCCUUUCUAAAAAACAAAACUUACAAGUUUCGGGGAAUUACCAAAAGCCAAGUCAAACAAAUGUCAUUCAAAUUUGAGUAUUUGUCUUCCGUUCGGUCCUGCAGUGUUUAGAGCGCCAGCAUAUUUAUUGAUCCCAGCAGCACAUGCGCUCGGACAUCACUGCAGCAGCCAUUUUGCUACUAUAGCUGUUCCGAUGAUUUGUUGUAAAUGCUUCACAACUUCGUGGAUCACUUGAAACUCGAGUCAUGAUGUGGAAGGAAUUAAAUAUGUCAUAAACUAUGACUACCCCAACUCUUCAGAAGAUUAUAUUCACAGAAUAGGAAGGACAGGCCGAUCUGACACCACCGGCACCUCUUACGCUUUCUUCACUCCAUCCAAUUUCCGACAAGCCAAAGAUUUGGUUUCCGUUCUUAAGGAAGCAAACCAGGCUAUCAAUCCGAGACUGUCUGAGAUGGCGAAUCGUUGUAGCAGUUACGGCAGCAAAGGGGGUAGCGGCGGUGGCGGUGGUCGUUGGGGCUACGGCGGAAGUUUUCGAGGGCGCGAAAACAGCGGUCCAAGAAAUCACCAGAGAUUCACUAAUGGCGGACGAUCCAACGGAUAUAGCAACGGAAGUUAUUAAAACUAUAACAGUGUGGACAAG